AUUCAAACAAGGAUUUGGAAGUGUUAUCGGACUCCGAUUUUGGCGUUCAAGUACUCAAAUCGAAGGUUUUGAGGAGUAGAAUCUGAUUGGGUCAUCAAAAACAUCAAGAAAUUCGCAGAAGAAGCGAGACGUAGGAAGGGAAAGCAAGUGGUGAUAGAGUAGUAUAGCGAGCAAGCGUAGUUGAAACUUGAGAUCAGCUAUAUAAGGCAAAGAAAGUUGGUAACGAUGACCCUCAGGCUAGUAGUAAGGUCAGGAUUCCAGGCUAGGAGAUGAAGAGAGCUAUCAGCAGCACCUGGCUUUUCAUAUAUGUACUAGUUUGAAUAACGAGACACAAAUGGCGUGUAAGCUUGUAAGAUUUAAGUUUUUAU